GUGCUGGCCCUCUCGGGGGCAUGUGCACGUCUCUGCCCAUUAAUCCCCAACCCACCCCUGUGAACCGACCGUGUGGGGCGCUCUGUAACGGAGCCGUCCCAUGCUUUAUCAUAAACCCUGUAUGUCAUCAGAAUGUAAAUCUAUAUCCUCGCCUUAAAACCGCGUCGAUAAAAAAAAUUAAUACAACUUUCAACAACGGAUCUCUUGGCUCUGGCAUCGAUGAAGAACGCAGCGAAAUGCGAUAAGUAAUGUGAAUUGCAGAUUUUCAGUGAAUCAUCGAAUCUUUGAACGCACCUUGCGCUCCCUGGUAUUCCGGGGAGCAUGCCUGUUUGAGUGUCAUUAAAUUCUCAACCCCGAUCGGAUUUGUUUUCGCAUUCGGAGGCUUGGAUAGUGGAGCGUGCUGGCCCCCCUCUCAUGGGUCGGCUCCUCUCAAAUGCAUUCGCGGAAUCGACUUUGGUCCAUUUCGGUCAUCAGUGUGAUAAAUGUUGCGCUGUUGGCUAGGAUCGAGGUGCCGCAUACAAUGGUCUUCGGACAAUUUUAUAAACCAUUUGACCUCAAAUCAGGUAGGACUACCCGCUGAACUUAAGCAUAUCAAUAAGCGGAGGAAAAGAAACUAACAAGGAUUCCCCUAGUAACUGCGAGUGAAGCGGGAAAAGCUCAAAUUUAAAAUCUGGCGUCCUCCGGGCGUCCGAGUUGUAAUCUGGAGAAGCGUUUUCCGCGUCGGACCGUGUACAAGUCUUCUGGAACGGAGCGUCAUAGAGGGUGAGAAUCCCGUCUCUGACACGGACUACCGAUGCUUUUGUGAUGCGCUCUCGAAGAGUCGAGUUGUUUGGGAAUGCAGCUCAAAAUGGGUGGUAAAUUCCAUCUAAAGCUAAAUAUUGGCCAGAGACCGAUAGCGAACAAGUACCGUGAGGGAAAGAUGAAAAGCACUUUGGAA
rnacentral:misc_RNA from 1 species